AGAGUUUGAUCCUGGCUCAGAUUGAACGCUGGCGGCAUGCCUUACACAUGCAAGUCGAACGGCAGCACGGGAGCAAUCCUGGUGGCGAGUGGCGAACGGGUGAGUAAUAUAUCGGAACGUGCCCAGUCGUGGGGGAUAACGUAGAGAAAUUUACGGUAAUACCGCAUACGAUCUAAGGAUGAAAGCGGGGGACCUUCGGGCCUCGCGCGAUUGGAGCGGCUGAUAUCAGAUUAGGUUGUUGGUGAGGUAAAAGCUCACCAAGCCGACGAUCUGUAGCUGGUUUGAGAGAACGACCAGCCACACUGGGACUGAGACACGGCCCAGACUCCUACGGGAGGCAGCAGUGGGGAAUUUUGGACAAUGGGCGAAAGCCUGAUCCAGCAAUGCCGCGUGCAGGAAGAAGGCCUUCGGGUUGUAAACUGCUUUUGUACGGAACGAAAAAGCCUGCCCUAAUACGGCGGGCUCAUGACGGUACCGUAAGAAUAAGCACCGGCUAACUACGUGCCAGCAGCCGCGGU
rnacentral:rRNA from 1 species